AUUCCGAUUACACGGCGCUCACUUUAGCCACAAAUCACCAACAGGAAUGAAGCGCAAUGUUGCCCCCUUGUGGCAGUUCCAGUAAAUAACCAGGGAAAUCACUGUCAGGCCUCAGUGGGGCAACACAACUGUCAGUCCAGGGCGGCAAUUGGGUAGAACUGAAACUCCCAUCUGUUUUAUAGCUCUGUUUUAAUGUGGGGGGCUGUUCUGUGACACAUACAGGAUUUCUUUUAACUUCAACCACAAAUAUGUGAUAUACUCACCCCUUUUUAUAAUAUUAUUAUUUUCAUAAUAUUAUUAUUAUUAUUAUUAGGCAAAUAGGAAUUUGAGCUCAGUGCUGACAUUUCAGAACAGGACACACCCACUUUUGAGAUUUAAUUUCUACAAUUCACAUCUGAUUUCAUUUGUAAGUUACUAAAUAAAUAGUGAUGUCCCCUCAAUACUAAAGGGCUGAGUCACUCCCAGCAACUCCCAGCACAGCACAACUGUAUGUCAGUGGGCCCAGUAUUUAAAGACACAGUGACCCCUUCAUUAGGAAUGAUGUUCCCCGGCAUCUGGCAGCGCCACACAGACCUGACCCCGUUUCAACAUUCCAAUAAGUAGAAGCAGAUUCCAGGUCUGAUCUCAUUCGUGUCCAGUAACAGAGCAGGUGCUUCUAAAUGAAUUGCCCUAAGCUCUGUCUCUGCUGCCUCCACCAUCCAGUGCCACAAGCAGCUGAUUAACAGCCUGUGAAGAAGGAAGCAAGGCAUUAUGGGAACUGGGGGUGUGGCUGGAGUGUCGCUACAUUGUUUCAGGAGUCAGGAAGCUGCAGUGCAGAAAUAGCAAUUACGUUUACAAACCAAUGAAUAUGAUGUGCAGUGAGACUGUGUAUUUGUGCUGCUCUGGCUACAAAAUGAUAUUUCAUCAAAACAACUUCUUAUUUUGGGCAUUGGCUCCUGGGAAUGGCAGUAAAUGGAUUUCUAUUUAGGCUUCAAAUGACCCAGGUCUGGAUUCUCUUCUCCCUCAUAACAUGGGGUUGGGUGAAGUCACAAUAUCGAGGGGGGGGGUUACUCAAGGUCAAAUGCUGCAAAUAAAAUGGUUUUGCCUAAAUGAACUUCCUAGAAACAAACAUAUUAGUUCAUAUUAGAUUCAAUACUUUGGGUCCCACAUGUCUAUUUAAAAGGAGUCAGACUAGUCCUGCCUUUGUCUCACAGUUAUAGAGAGUUCCUCCAGGAUGAAGCAGAGAAAGUUAUUUAUCUACUAGUCCUAGUCUCCCCCCACCCAACUCCCUGCACCCUCAGCUGUAGCCAAUUAUCUGACUUUAUAAGCCCCCACUCCCUGUGCUCCCUGUUUGCUCAUUAGACUCUGUGCUGGCGAUUUAAUCAGUUGCUGAACAGUUGCCUCUGCCCUUUCAUUUUGGACCUUGAGUUCAGUGUCUGUUGAUCUGACUCCCAACCUGUCUGUCCUUCUGACCCAAUGUCCCAGAAGAAGAGUUUUGGUUCCUCGGCUUUGGGAAAUGAUCCUUGUGAUAUUGAUUUGUUUAUUAAAGAGAAUGAAGGGGAAUAGGACACCUGCCUGCAAUGUCGCCCAUUGGGGGUUAAUGGUCAGGAGGGGGCAGAAGGGGUUAACUGAUGAAGACUCUGCUACAUCUCUGGCUGUUCUCAAGGCAAAGUUCACUGGGGACUUGUGAGCUGCUCCUUCUGGAAUCAUUUCACUUCUCUCAAUCCUGUGAAAGAUAAAGACCCCCAGUGUAGAAGCAGCUCAAUGUCAGUGGAUCUCCCUUAUGUCCCACGUGAGAAGCUUUGGCUGAGGCACCUGUAUGUGAAUAUUAAUCCUUGUGUUACUGGGAGUCGGCGACCCACGUGAGUGGCUUUGCCUAUUGCUCAGUCUCUAUUUCCACUGCAGCUUUGGUCAAUACAUCAGGGGCUCAUAUCAAUGUUCUUCUUACAUCUGAUAACCUGGAGUCCUUAUUCCGGUGACACCUGACUGGUAUCUGGCUGCUUCGUCUCCAUGUAAAACAUUAUUUUUUUCUGAAUUAUUCUUGUUUUCUUGCUCAGCCAGUCCUGAAUGUUACCAGAAGUGCUGGGAAUUGCACAAGAGCUUGCACUCCAUACCAGUGCCGGGCUGGGAUUAGAGCUACACUAUGAGCUCAAGUUGAAAUGGUUUAGAAAAUGUUUUUUUCUGCUCAUAGUUUUAUGCCUGGGCUUAAACCUGCCCAAUAUAAACAAAACAUAAACCUAAAAGUGGUGUAAAUCUAAAGUGGCUCCAAAUCUCCAUAUAUAUAUAAUUUCAAAGACAUUUUUAUCAAUGAGGUUGGACAUAGAAUUCUCUUUUUAUCAAUGAGGUUGGACAUUCCCUGGCAAUUCCCUAUUUCAUGAGUUGUUCAAAUGACUAUAACACUAUAUAGUUCAAACUAUAACACCGUCCCCUAGUUUUCUAUAGAAAUUGUAUAGCAAAAUUAUAGAUGCAACAAAUCCACCAAUGAGAAUCAGACAUGGGGAUAAAGGACAGACUUGUUCAGUGCUGGGAAACUGGGCUUAAAGCUUCCAACUCCAGUUGCAGGAACAAAGAACAUGGAGCCACAUUGAUACAGAUCAUCUUGGAUUCUCAUGGGAGGAUUAUUUUUAUGGUGCACUAUUGCUUUAAGAAUACAACCCUGAUGUUGCUGGACUACAGCUCCCAGCAUGCUUCAAGUAAAGUUUGGUUGAGUAGUGCAGCAGGGUUUACUACCCAUUUAAUGGGAUAUUUUUAAGUAUGAGGUUUCAUGUCAACGUAAGUUAGUUUGGUUAUGGCCAUGUUUGUUCCAUGUGGGGCACCAGACUAAAUCAUAGGAAUAAGUCAGAACUGAACAGGAGCUGAGGCUCAUGGGAUGUCUGUAAAUGGCUCUUCAAACAUGUCUAACCAGAAAAAGUUGUGUAUUCUCGCACACCCUACUUAUAAGCUGAUGAACAUGGGCCUGAUAUAAACACAGGUGGAGGCUCGGCCACCUCCCAAUGCAAGUUCUCAAGAUAAAUCCAAUGGCACCCAGGUCUGCAUGAACUAAUGUUUAUUUAAAGGGGAGUGCAGUGCAAACCUGUCCAUGCAGACCCGGGUUCCAUUGGAUUUCUCUUGUGAAUCUUCAAACGCGUCUGACUUGACCAAUGUUCUUGUACCAUGAAUAGAGUUAAAUGAAUAUAGUUUGUGAUCAUGCAGCCGACAUCCCUCCAAAUCAUAUGAAACAAAUGUAUUGUGCUUGUGUCUCCAGCUGCAACUCGAUUGGAUGAAU